rnacentral:rRNA from 1 species
GACGAACGCUGGCGGCGUGCUUAACACAUGCAAGUCGAACGGAAAGGCUCCAGCUUGCUGGAGUACUCGAGUGGCGAACGGGUGAGUAACACGUGGGUAAUCUGCCCUGCACUCUGGGAUAAGCCUGGGAAACUGGGUCUAAUACUGGAUAUGACCUUUCUCCUUAUGGGGUUUGGUGGAAAGUUUUUCGGUGUAGGAUGAGCCCGCGGCCUAUCAGCUUGUUGGUGGGGUGAUGGCCUACCAAGGCGACGACGGGUAGCCGGCCUGAGAGGGUGAUCGGCCACAUGGGGACUGAGAUCGGGCCGAGACCCCUACGGGAGGCAGAGGGGGGGAAUAUGGCAAAGUGGGCGGACGCCUGCUGCGGCGCCCCGGGGGGGGGGAGGGCGGCUUGGGGGUUGAAAACCUCUUCCAGCGGGGACGAAGCGACAGGGACGGUACCGGAAGAAGAAGCCCCGGCUAACUAUGUC